GCAUAGAUGGAUACAACGGAUUCAGUUCCCCGUGGAAAGGGCUGUCUGACGACAUGAUAAAGCGGUGUAAAUAUACUAAAUAUAGCGUACUCUUAAACUGAUAUUGAUUUUUUUUAGGUGGACCUUUCUUUUAGGUAGCUAAAAUAAGUUUUGCUGCCGGCCCCAUCCACAGCAGUACAUUGCUUUGGUUCUGUGCGGUAACUCCUGUCUGCUUCUUCGAACUGUGGGCGUGCCGACCGUAAUCUACUGUAGCAGCUUGUGCUCCAAACAU